rnacentral:rRNA from 1 species
UACGUAGGGCGCAAGCGUUAUCCGGAAUUAUUGGGCGUAAAGAGCUUGUAGGCGGUUUGUCGCGUCUGCCGUGAAAAUCCGGGGCUCAACCCCGGACUUGCGGUGGGUACGGGCAGACUAGAGUGUGGUAGGGGAGACUGGAAUUCCUGGUGUAGCGGUGAAAUGCGCAGAUAUCAGGAGGAACACCGGUGGCGAAGGCGGGUCUCUGGGCCGAUACUGACGCUGAGGAGCGAAAGGCGUGGGGAGCGAACAGG